rnacentral:rRNA from 1 species
AUUGAACGCUGGCGGCAGGCCUAACACAUGCAAGUCGAGCGAGCGGCGGACGGGUGAGUAAUGUCUGGGAAACUGCCUGAUGGAGGGGGAUAACUACUGGAAACGGUAGCUAAUACCGCAUACCAUUAGGUGUUCCCCGAUGGGAUUAGCUAGUAGGGUGGGUAACGGCCCACCUUGGCGACGAUGCCUAGCUGGUCUGCGAGGAUGACCAGCCACACUGGAACUGAGACACGGUCCAGACGCCUACGGGAGGCAGCAGUGGGGAAUAUUGCACAAUGGGCGCAAGCCUGAUGCAGCCAUGCUGCGUGUGUGAAGAAGGCCUUCGGGUUGUAAAGCACUUUCAGCGGGGAGGCGUUACCCGCAGAAGAAGCACCGGCUAACUCCGUGCCAGCAGCCGCGGUAAUAC